rnacentral:rRNA from 1 species
GAUGAACGCUAGCGGCAGGCCUAACACAUGCAAGUCGAGGGGUAACAGGGAGCUUGCUCCGCUGACGACCGGCGCACGGGUGCGUAACGCGUAUACAAUCUACCUAUCACUGAGGGAUAGCCCGAAGAAAUUUGGAUUAACACCUCAUAGUACCGGCUGACCGCAUGGUCUACUGGUUAAAGGUUACGGUGAUAGAUGAGUAUGCGUCCUAUUAGCUAGAUGGUAAGGUAACGGCUUACCAUGGCUACGAUAGGUAGGGGUCCUGAGAGGGAGAUCCCCCACACUGGUACUGAGACACGGACCAG